AGAUAAAAGGUAUUAAUGAUAAAUGUAUCAUUUUAUACACAUAUAAAAAUGCAUUUUACAAACAUGGGGUCUGGAAUAGAUUAUGAUUAUCAGAAUUUCAUGUUAUAAAGAAUAUGUAAUUACAACUGACUGCAGAUCUUUGUAACUUAGGAAUUUGGCUUUCCAUCUGAAAGUAUCUUUUAGCCCCUACAAUGAGCGAGGCGCUGUGCAAGAUGUUGAAGUGCAAAAGUAGAAAUCUGACAUCCAAAAAUGGAAAAGAUACACUUACGUCGAAGUUCUUCUUUCUUUUUUUUUUGGAUGGAAGGUAACUUUUGACUACUUUCUUGAGAUCUUCACAUUGCUUCUGUAACAGAGCUAUACCAUACUGAAAAGAGCUUCGAAGUCAGAUAUACCUGGGUCAGUUUACCCCAUUUCCCAGCCAUGCUAUCGGGGAAAGUUACUUAACCUUUCGGUACCUCAAUUUUGUCAAUUGUGACAUGAGAAAAAUAAUGCGUACCCUUAGGUUGAUUUAAUAGCGCUUAUGUAGGACUGACAAGUGCUUGUGCAGCAAAGAUCUCAAUCAUCUGUAUUGCUUGUAUUUCUUUCCAUUUAUUCCCAUGGAACAUUAUGUUUAUUAGUAUUUGAUAUUCUUGUAAUAUCCAGCAUUCUCUUUCCCUCACAUACUUUCUGGUCUCCUGUCCUAACUGGGAUAUGCUCCGCCUACUUGUUAAGCAGUAGUUGAGUGAUCUUAGUGCCUGUGGCUAGUAAUGGCUCCAGAUGAUUCUUAGUUCAGGGCUACUGGCUACCUUGAUCUAGACUGAAGAGUUUAAGACUCACUGGCUGGAGAUACUACUGCUACUACUACUACUAAAAACAACAAUGAGAGCACGAACGCUCAAUGCACUGGGGAGGGAUGAUGACGUGUGAGGCAAAUCUCCAAGCUCAUCCUCUCAUCUCUCAAAGGCACAUGGUUGAUCCUCCUGUGGUGGUUAGAUUGUCAUGGUGUUGAGAGGCUGGUGAGUUGUGGGGAAUGUUGAAAGUUACUGCAAUAUGGAGAGAGGCUUAACCUACGCAAGUUUUUGUGGAAUCGUGCUUCCUUCGGGAAGUAAGUGUUUGAGAUUUUACAUUUUCUACUCACAGAAGCUGGAAUCUUAGGACAAUAAAGUCACCUAAGUUUCUGCA
rnacentral:lncRNA from 1 species